AUUGAACGCUGGCGGCAUGCUUUACACAUGCAAGUCGAACGGUAACAGCACUUCGGUGGCUGACGAGUGGCGAACGGGUGAGUAAUACAUCGGAACGUGCCUAGUAGUGGGGGAUAACUACUCGAAAGAGUAGCUAAUACCGCAUGAGAUCUAAGGAUGAAAGCAGGGGACCUUCGGGCCUUGCGCUACUAGAGCGGCUGAUGGCAGAUUAGGUAGUUGGUGGGAUAAAAGCUUACCAAGCCGACGAUCUGUAGCUGGUCUGAGAGGACGACCAGCCACACUGGGACUGAGACACGGCCCAGACCCCUACGGGAGGCAGCAGUGGGGAAUUUUGGACAAUGGGCGCAAGCCUGAUCCAGCAAUGCCGCGUGCAGGAUGAAGGCCUUCGGGUUGUAAACUGCUUUUGUACGGAACGAAAAGCCCUCUUCUAAUACAGGAGGGUCAUGACGGUACCGUAAGAAUAAGCACCGGCUAACUACGUG
rnacentral:rRNA from 1 species